ensembl:lncRNA
UCAAAAUUUGGGCACCUCAGUUGUAUCUUUAAGGACCUAAGCGGCUAUUGAAACUCCUCAUAUGACCUGUUACUACAGGCUCCUGUAUAUACAGUUCUAUUGCCAAAACAUGAGGUUGGCAGAAGUGAGUCAUAACUGCGAAGAUCUCAGCUUUGCUCUUUGAUUUACUUUUAUCCACCAAAAAUUAAAAUAUUUCCAAGAAUACGGGUAGGUAUGUGCUGUUCUCCUGUUAGGGCAGAGCUCUCACUUGGCUCUUCAGUGUAUUUACAUAGCUCAUAGGUUAUAUCUUUUUAAGCUUUAAUAUAAAAGGAGCUGUGUGCACAUUUUAUCUAAUCUUCAAUGCAUUAGGCAUGAGCAGUUCCUGGAGAAGGGAUCACAACGUAGAGCUCUGCCCCUUCUCCUGGGAGUCUGUCUCAUGGAGUGAUACUUGCCCUGCAGUGCUUUCUCUUUAUGGCUUUGUGAAUUCUAAAUUCCUCCCUAUGCUGGCAGAGCUCCAGUGGGAGGACAGAGAGGGCGGCCUCAGCCCCAGCUCUGCCUGAAGUCUGCUCUGUAGGAAGUGGGAUCUGCAGAGGGAAUAGUGCCCAGCUUCCCAGGAGAGGUCUCACCUUGGGCUAACUCUGCAAGGCAGCAGUAUUAUCUUUUUUGGACAGGUCUCUGGAUGACCGUGACCAGGACAGCUGCAUGCCCUGCAGUCACUGUUGCAGUGUGACUUAAGGGUACAGAACACACUGAACUGCUGUGCAGACUUCACGUGGGAUUUAAGGGCUAGCUUCUGCCGUGGUCAGCACUGAUGACCAUGUGGCUUUGGGUUGAGCUGGGUCAAUUGCUGAUCUCACUGAAAAUUAGAUUUUUCUUCCUUUCUGGGGGGGAAGAUAAGGAUUUGACUGUCCAAGCUGAUGCAAUUCAUUGCAAAGCUGCAUGGCUGCUCAUGCUCAUGAGGAAGUAGCAGGAACUCGUGAUCAGAAGCACAGGAGAAAGUGGGACUGUCCCUUCCAUGAGACCUGCAUUAAGUGGAGUUUGUUAUGAUCAGGAGACCCCACCUCCCAUGUUGACCUCAAGCAAGAGCUAAGCACUGACCUCAUCAGUUACAGGUGCUUUUAGGGGGCCUUGAUCUCCAAAUCAAGCAGGGGAGCUAUACACAACUCUAAUUACUGCCAUUCGCAUCAGGCUCUCUGAUGGCAAUGUAGCUCUCAGCGCUGAAUGAACGUGGUGUGACAUAGCAGCAGUAUGCAGAUGCGAGGGCAUCCUUUCGACUGAAGACUUUGAUUAUCAGAUUAUUAUCAGACAACUGAGCUGAUACUGAAGUUGGCCAGCCGUCUGCUAAGCACUCCUGCGGAACUACAGAGUCAUAGAUGUUAAGAGAUGGAAAGUGCAUUAGAUCACCCAGACCGUCGUCUUGCCAGGACGUUUUCUGCUACGUUUUUUUCUUCUGUGGUUUAUGGCUAGUGAAGCUACAAGAACUUGGCCUUCAAUCUCUGGGACUCUUUUCCACAAAACUUAAUGGCACAUUUUUUUUCUUUGCCUGAUAUUUGGCCAAAAUUUGUCCGUUUCUUUGUUUUAUCGCGUUGUUUCAAUUCUGUGGUCUCAUCUUUCAGUAGUUCUUUGCUCUGUGAUGCUAACAGCCUGCAACUGAGAGCAGAACAGAAUGAUGUGCUCUUGAGUAUUAAAGCAUCGCUGACCCGAGUGCUGCACCUUCAGUUCUUUAGGAUUUGAGAAAAAUGAUAGUUGUUUAGAUCAAGCUGCUAACAGUAUAACUUCUCAG